CUACACCUACAACAACUACUACACCUACAACAACUACUACUAGUACUUCAAGUAAAACUCUUCCUGCAUCAACUACACCCAGUGAACGAUCUUAUGUUACAGUUCUUAAAUUGAAGAUGACCUCUUUGGUGGACUUGUCUAAAAUUGAUAGAGAUACCUUCCUUUCACAGAUCAAAAAUUUGCUGAUAUCCAAAGGGCUGCCCCCACACAUGAUCGUCCGACUAAUAAGCAGCAAUGCACAGAUUGGUCCAACCGCAACACCCUCUACUGGCAAAACAUGAACUGGCAGCUUAAGGAGCUUCUUCAUGGCAGCUGUUGAAUGAAUGGAACCAAGUAUCACUCAGAGCUUCGAUGUGUCAUUGUGACUGUUGCAAACGGACCAAUAAUAACCACAACACCUGAAACAACAACUACACUCAGUGAACCAUCUUAUGUUCUCAAAUUGAAGAUUGCCUCUUUGGUGGACUUGUCUAAAAUCGAUAGAGAUGACUUACUUACACAGAUCAAAAAUGUGCUUAUAUCCAAAGGACUGCCCCAAGACAUGAUCAUACGACUCAUAAGCAGCAAACCACAGAUUGGUGCAAUUGCAGCGCCCUCUACUGGCACAACAUGAACAUCUACUGACAACUUCUGGAACAUUUUCAUUUCGUCUGCUGAAUGAAGUUUUGUCUUCAGUGUUCUUUAAAUAACUUAAAAGUAGAUUUUUAAAAGCAAAAUGUU